rnacentral:rRNA from 1 species
GAUGAACGCUGGCGGCGUGCCUAAUACAUGCAAGUCGAGCGAACGGACGAGAAGCUUGCUUUUCUGAUGUUAGCGGCGGACGGGUGAGUAACACGUGGAUAACCUACCUAUAAGACUGGGAUAACUUCGGGGAACCGGAGCUACUACCGGAUAAUAUUUUGAACCGCAUGGUUCAAAAGUGAAAGACGCUCUUGCUGUCACUUAUAGAUGGAUCCGCGCUGCAUUAGCUAGUUGGUAAGGUAACGGCUUACCAAGGCAACGAUGCAUAGCUGACCUGAGAGGAUGAUCGGCCACACUGGAACUGAGACACGGUCCAGACUCCUACGGGAGGCAGCAGUAGGGAAUCUUCCGCAAAGGGCGAAAGCCUGACGGAGCAACGCCGCGUGAGUGAUGAAGGUCUUCGGAUCGUAAAACUCUGUUAUUAGGGAAGAACAUAUGUGUAAGUAACUGUGCACAUCUUGACGGUACCUAAUCAGAAAGCCACGGCUAACUACGUG